rnacentral:rRNA from 1 species
AGAGUUUGAUCAUGGCUCAGAUUGAACGCUGGCGGCAUGCCUUACACAUGCAAGUCGAACGGCAGCACGGGGGCAACCCUGGUGGCGAGUGGCGAACGGGUGAGUAAUACAUCGGAACGUGUCCUGUAGUGGGGGAUAGCCCGGCGAAAGCCGGAUUAAUACCGCAUACGCUCUACGGAGGAAAGGGGGGGAUCUUAGGACCUCCCGCUACAGGGGCGGCCGAUGGCAGAUUAGCUAGUUGGUGGGGUAAAGGCCUACCAAGGCGACGAUCUGUAGCUGGUCUGAGAGGACGACCAGCCACACUGGGACUGAGACACGGCCCAGACUCCUACGGGAGGCAGCAGUGGGGAAUUUUGGACAAUGGGCGAAAGCCUGAUCCAGCAAUGCCGCGUGUGUGAAGAAGGCCUUCGGGUUGUAAAGCACUUUUGUCCGGAAAGAAAUCCUCUGGGUUAAUACCCCCGGGGGGAUGACGGUACCGGAAGAAUAAGCACCGGCUAACUACGUGCCAGCAGCCGCGGUAAUACGUAGGGUGCAAGCGUUAAUCGGAAUUACUGGGCGUAAAGCGUGCGCAGGCGGUUCGCUAAGACAGAUGUGAAAUCCCCGGGCUUAACCUGGGAACUGCAUUUGUGACUGGCGGGCUAGAGUAUGGCAGAGGGGGGUAGAAUUCCCGUGUAGCAGUGAAAUGCGUAGAGAUGUGGAGGAAUACCGAUGGCGAAGGCAGCCCCCUGGGCCAAUACUGACGCUCAUGCACGAAAGCGUGGGGAGCAAACAGGAUUAGAUACCCUAGUAGUCC